UGGCUACCAUAUGCUUUAUUACUUCCUUUAUUACGUCCUAGGUCAUAAAUCAUUUUAUUGGGGGUCAUAAAUCACUGGUUUGACAUAAGGGGUUUAAUAUCCCUCCUCACAUCCACUUUUAAAGUGCUUUAGGGUUAGGGGUUUUUUAUUCAUUCUUUAUUCAUUCUUCUGUGCAAAAACAUAUUUAUUGUAUUUAAAAUUUCAAAGUUUGGCACAUUUAUGCUCUUGUCUGCAAACAUUAAUAGACUCUGCAGUACAGCUGGCUCCUGUGCUUUUUUAAUAUUCUGCAUUGGCGUCUCCUCCAGCUACAGCUCCUUCUGGCUUUGCGGAGGGCUUUCUUAUAAAGCAGCAAACUAUUUCUCCAGGCUAAAUGAUGAUCCUCUAAAUUUGUGACACGCCAUUUCCUCUCCAGCUUACGAGUUAUCUGCUUUAGGCUACGUGUUUGAGAAUUAUACCACGGAGUCAGGGACUUUGGAUUUGAGGCCUUAGUUUUCACAGGAGCUACAGUAUCCAGAGUCGUACGUAGUGAGGAGGUAAAAUUAUUAACAAGAUAAUCGACCUCUGUUGGAGUAGCGUUCAGAUAGCUGCUCUGCUCUAUGUUGGUACAGGGCAUUGAAGAUGAUAACAGUGGGUGGAUUAUAUUCUUAAACUUAGUUACAGCACUUUCAGAAAGACAUCUACUUUGAUAAAGUCUACUCUCCACUGCUGUGUAAUCAAUUAUUGUAAAUGUAAAUGUUAUCAGGAAAUGAUCAGACAGCAGAGGGUUUUCAGGAAACACUGUUAAAUAUUCAGUUUCUAUGCCAUACGUUAAAACAAGAUCUAGAGUGUGAUUAAAGUGGUGGGUGGGUUCUUUUACAUUUUGAGAGAAGCCAAUUGAGUCUAGUAACAGAUUAAAUGCGAUGUUGAGGCUGUCAUUUUUAGCAUCUACAUGGAUGUUAAAAUCACCCACAAUAAUUAUUUUAUCUGAGCUGAGCACUAAAUCAGAUAAAAAGUCUGAGAAAUCAGAGAGAAACUCUGUGUAAGGCCCAGGUGGACGAUAGAUGAUAACAAGUAAGACUGGUUUCUGAGUUUUACAGCUGGGGUGGACGAGGCUAAGCAUCAGGCUUUCAAAUGAAUUAAAAGUCUGUCUUGGUCUUUCGUUAAUUAAUAGGCUGGUGUGAAAAAUUGCUGCCACACCGCCCCCUCGGCCUGUGCUUCGGGAUUUCUGGUAGUUAGAAUGACUCGGGGGUGUUGAUUCAUUUAAACUAACAUACUCAUCCUGCUGCAACCAGGUUUCUGUAAGGCAGAGUAAAUCGAUUUGUUGAUCAAUUAUUAAGUCAUGUACUAACAGAGACUUGGAGGAGAGAGACCUAAUAUUUAAUAAUCCACAUUUCACUGUUUUACUCUUUGGUUCAGAUGUGGAUACUGUAUUGUUCUUUCUUUGUGAUUUUUUAUGUUUAAGUUGUUUAUUGCUGGUUUUUAGUUUGUUUUUUGUCUUUU
rnacentral:lncRNA from 1 species